rnacentral:rRNA from 1 species
GUGGGGAAUAUUGGACAAUGGGCGAAAGCCUGAUCCAGCCAUGCCGCGUGUGUGAAGAAGGUCUUCGGAUUGUAAAGCACUUUAAGUUGGGAGGAAGGGCAGUAAGUUAAUACCUUGCUGUUUUGACGUUACCGACAGAAUAAGCACCGGCUAACUUCGUGCCAGCAGCCGCGGUAAUACGAAGGGUGCAAGCGUUAAUCGGAAUUACUGGGCGUAAAGCACGCGUAGGUGGUUUUGUAAGUUGGAGGUGAAAUCCCCGAGCUCAAACUGGGAACUGCCUCCAAAACUGCAUGACUAGAGUACGGUAGAGGGUAGUGGAAUUUCCUGUGUAGCGGUGAAAUGCGUAGAUAUAGGAAGGAACACCAGUGGCGAAGGCGACUACCUGGACUGAUACUGACACUGAGGUGCGAAAGCGUGGGGAGCAAACAGGAUUAGAAACCCCUGUAGUCC